rnacentral:rRNA from 1 species
GGAUCAAUCUGUUGGUCGUGCCUUUGGUACGUACUAGCUUAUUGAUUUCUCCCUUCUGACGAACCAUGAUGUCAUUAAUUUGGUGUCAUGGGAAAUCAGGACUGUUACUUUGAAAAAAUUAGAGUGUUUAAAGCAGGCUCACGCUUGAAUACAUUAGCAUGGAAUAAUGAAAUAGGACGUUUUGAUUCUAUUUUGUUGGUUUCUAGGAUCGACGUA